GAUGAACGCUGGCGGCGUGCCUAAUACAUGCAAGUCGAGCGAAUGGAUUAAGAGCUUGCUCUUAUGAAGUUAGCGGCGGACGGGUGAGUAACACGUGGGUAACCUGCCCAUAAGACUGGGAUAACUCCGGGAAACCGGGGCUAAUACCGGAUAACAUUUUGAACCGCAUGGUUCGAAAUUGAAAGGCGGCUUCGGCUGUCACUUAUGGAUGGACCCGCGUCGCAUUAGCUAGUUGGUGAGGUAACGGCUCACCAAGGCAACGAUGCGUAGCCGACCUGAGAGGGGGAUCGGCCACACUGGGACCGAGACACGGCCCAGACUCCUACGGGAGGCAGCAGUAGGGAAUCUUCCGCAAUGGACGAAAGUCUGACGGAGCAACGCCGCGUGAGUGAUGAAGGCUUUCGGGUCGUAAAACUCUGUUGUUAGGGAAGAACAAGUGCUAGUUGAAUAAGCUGGCACCUUGACGGUACCUAACCAGAAAGCCACGGCUAACUACGUGCCAGCCGCCACGGUAA
rnacentral:rRNA from 1 species